rnacentral:misc_RNA from 1 species
CAGAGUUCCUGCCCUCAGCGGUAGAUCUCCCACCCUAUGUUAUCACCCUCUGUUGCUUUGGCGGGCCGCCCCCGUGGCCCUGGCUCCGGCCAGGCAGUGCCCGCCAGAGGACCCCAACUCUGGAUAUUAUGUCGUCUGAGCACUAUAUAAUCGUUA